GAUCCCCCCGUCUCCUCGCCGCCACCGCCCCCUCCCGAUCUAGUCCUCCCUCCCACCGCCGACCUCAACCAAGGACGACGGAGAUCCAAUCCUCUCCCCGCGCGGAAACCCUUCCUCCUACCCAGCGCCGACCUCGUCGUCCUCCUCACCCACCGCCUACCUCGUCCCUCCGUCCCCUCACCAUGUCUCCCUACCCUCCGCCCUCUGCCCCCUGCCUCGAUCCCCCAGAUCCAAUCGACACAACCCCGCUGCCCCAGCACCCCGUACUGUCCACCAUGGCCGCCUCCUCCUCCUCCCCGCACCAACCCACCACCCCGUCAUGGGGGUGCGUCCGUGGCGGCUACCCUUCCAUGCCGUCUCCGUCCGCCCCUGCCGCUCCGCGGUCUCCUCCGAAUCCGCAUCCUCCCCGCAGCAGGCGCCGACACCGGUUGGCGGCGACGACGCCAACGGGCCCACCGGCGUGCCCGUGCCCUUCUCCCGUGCCCUCCCAGGCGGCGGCGGCAGUUGGGUGAGCGGUGGAGGAUGUGCGUCCGGCGCUAAACGAGCACGCUGACAUGGUGGCGGAGCUCUUCGGCCGCGUCUCCACGGAGCUCCGCGGCGGGUUCGGCCCCGUCGUCGACUCCUUCGUCGGCUUCUUCCACGCCGUCGACUAGAUGGGCCGCUGAUGAGCGCGGACCAUCGAGAUCAAGGCCGCCGAGACAAUUCAGGGCGAGACGAUGCUGACCUGGGACGUGACGAUGCUGUGGUGGGACAUGAUGUACACGGAGGAGUUCGUGCCGGCCGAUGAGGGCGCCUACACCAUUGUGGAGGAGCACGCCUAGGAGAAGAAGGAGCACUCCCAGGAGAAGCUCUGCCUCUACAGCCUCUACAAGCAGGCCACCGUUGGCCCCGUCAACACCGUGGUAAGCCCUGUCUCAUCAUUUUGAAGGUCUACAAAAGUUCAGGCUGCAUGCAGCUAAUGCCAGCAGUUCCAGAAUGGAAAAUAUUUGGCACUUGGCAGGCGAAAAGAUAGUUUCUCCUGGAGCUAAGAGAGGGCUAAUUCCACUUGUUUGGAAGAGAAUACGAUGAAGCAUGGUGGUUAUCUAUCAAUCUGCCUUGUGUUUUGGUUGUACUUUGUACCUAGUUAUAUUGUAUUCUGUAGUAGUUAGCACAUUCUGGAGCAGAAUCCAGUGAAGUUGUAAAACUGUAAUAGUUUUGUUUCAUUUGAAAUAUUUGUCAUUUGUGUACUAUGAGAAAUGUGAGAAAUGGAAAGCUGAUGAGUUGGACUAA